rnacentral:rRNA from 1 species
CGGAGGGUGCAAGCGUUAUCCGGAUUCACUGGGUUUAAAGGGUGCGUAGGUGGGCUGGUAAGUCAGUGGUGAAAUCUCCAGGCUUAACUUGGAAACUGCCAUUGAUACUAUCAGUCUUGAAUACCGUGGAGGUCAGCGGAAUAUGUCAUGUAGCGGUGAAAUGCUUAGAUAUGACAUAGAACACCAAUUGCGAAGGCAGCUGGCUACACGAGUAUUGACACUGAUGCACGAAAGCGUGGGGAUCAAACAGG